rnacentral:rRNA from 1 species
CACGUAGGCACCAAGCGUUGUCCGGAAUUAUUGGGCGUAAAGGGCUCGUAGGCGGUUUGUCGCGUCGGGAGUGAAAACCUUGGGCUUAACUCAGGGCUUGCUUUCGAUACGGGCAGACUAGAGGUAUGCAGGGGAGAACGGAAUUCCUGGUGUAGCGGUGAAAUGCGCAGAUAUCAGGAGGAACACCGGUGGCGAAGGCGGUUCUCUGGGCAUGAUCUGACGCUGAGGAGCGAAAGUGUGGGGAGCGAACAGG